rnacentral:rRNA from 1 species
UUUGAUUCAUGGCUCAAGACGAACGCUGGCGGCGUGCUUAACACAUGCAAGUCGAACGAUGAAGCCUAGCUCGCUAGGCGGAUUAGUGGCGAACGGGUGAGUAAUACGUGAGUCGACCUACCUUUGACUCUGGGAUAAGCCUGGGAAACUGGGUCUAAUACCGGAUACGACCAAUCUCCGCAUGGGGUGUUUGGUGGAAAGCGUUAUGGAGUGGUUUUAGAUGGGCUCACGGCCUAUCAGCUUGUUGGUGAGGUAAUGGCUUACCAAGGCGACGACGGGUAGCCGGCCUGAGAGGGUGACCGGCCACACUGGGACUGAGACACGGCCCAGACUCCUACGGGAGGCAGCAGUGGGGAAUAUUGCACAAUGGGCGCAAGCCUGAUGCAGCGACGCCGCGUGAGGGAUGACGGCCUUCGGGUUGUAAACCUCUGUUAGCAUCGAAGAAGCGAAAGUGACGGUAGGUGCAGAGAAAGCGCCGGCUAACUACGUGCCAGCAGCCGCGGUAAUACGUAGGGCGCGAGCGUUGUCCGGAAUUAUUGGGCGUAAAGAGCUUGUAGGCGGUUGGUCGCGUCUGCUGUGAAAGGCUGGGGCUUAACCCUGGUUUUGCAGUGGGUACGGGCUAACUAGAGUGCAGUAGGGGAGACUGGAAUUCCUGGUGUAGCGGUGGAAUGCGCAGAUAUCAGGAGGAACACCGAUGGCGAAGGCAGGUCUCUGGGCUGUAACUGACGCUGAGAAGCGAAAGCAUGGGGAGCGAACAGGAUUAGAUACCCUGGUAGUCCAUGCCGUAAACGUUGGGCACUAGGUGUGGGGGACAUUCCACGUUUUCCGCGCCGUAGCUAACGCAUUAAGUGCCCCGCCUGGGGAGUACGGCCGCAAGGCUAAAACUCAAAGAAAUUGACGGGGGCCCGCACAAGCGGCGGAGCAUGCGGAUUAAUUCGAUGCAACGCGAAGAACCUUACCAAGGCUUGACAUAUACUGGACUGCGUCAGAGAUGGCGUUUCCCUUCGGGGCUGGUAUACAGGUGGUGCAUGGUUGUCGUCAGCUCGUGUCGUGAGAUGUUGGGUUAAGUCCCGCAACGAGCGCAACCCUCGUUCUAUGUUGCCAGCACGUGAUGGUGGGGACUCAUAGGAGACUGCCGGGGUCAACUCGGAGGAAGGUGGGGAUGGCGUCAAAUCAUCAUGCCCCUUAUGUCUUGGGCUUCACGCAUGCUACAAUGGCCGGUACAGAGGGUUGCGAUACUGUGAGGUGGAGCUAAUCCCUAAAAGCCGGUCUCAGUUCGGAUUGGGGUCUGCAACUCGACCCCAUGAAGUCGGAGUCGCUAGUAAUCGCAGAUCAGCAACGCUGCGGUGAAUACGUUCCCGGGCCUUGCACACACCGCCCGUCAAGGGGCGGAAAUU